UUUUUUUUUUAAGAGAAACAAAAUAAUUGCUAGGCGAAGCACAAUAUGUGCCAACAUAUGCUAUCCAAAAUAGUAAAAAGUAUACAUGGGUUCUUUACUAUUUUGGCCAUUAAAAGUAAAAUACCAUUAACUGACUAUUAUUGAGACUAAGCUUUGUUAUGUAAAACCAAAAAAGGUAACUAAAUUGCUGUUCUAACCAUAAAUGCUGCCAU
rnacentral:misc_RNA from 1 species